rnacentral:rRNA from 1 species
UACAGAGGGUGCUAGCGUUAAUCGGAUUUACUGGGCGUAAAGCGUGUGUAGGCGGUUCGUUAAGUCGGAUGUGAAAGCCCUGGGCUCAACCUAGGAAUUGCAUUCGAUACUGGCGGGCUAGAGUACGGUAGAGGGCGGCGGAAUUCCGGGUGUAGCGGUGAAAUGCGUAGAUAUCGGGAGGAACACCGGUGGCGAAGGCGGUUCUCUGGGCCUUACCUGACGCUGAGGAGCGAAAGCGUGGGGAGCGAACAGG